rnacentral:tRNA from 1 species
UGGCCGUUGGGGGGAUCGAACCCACGACCUUCGCGUUAUUAGCACGACGCUCUAACCAACUGAGCUAAUGGGCC